GCGGCGAUGGAUACUAGACUCGAGGUCGAACAAGGGUGUGUGACCCUACAAUCCGAAACGCGAGACUUAAUGCUUCGCCUGCGAUUGUAGAGUCAUACACCUCUGCUAGCCUUCCGGUCUUCCGCUCUAAGCU
rnacentral:miRNA from 19 species